AUACAUGUAUAGGGCAUUUUCUAUGCAAAUCUUUGAACCUUUCCCACGCUUCAUACAAUGUUUCAUCCUCUAAUUGCCUGAAUGAUGUUAUGUCAUUUCUUAGUUU
rfam:Gossypium raimondii chromosome 9, whole genome shotgun sequence.